AUUGAACGCUGGCGGCAGGCCUAACACAUGCAAGUCGAGCGAGCGGCGGACGGGUGAGUAAUGUCUGGGAAUCUGCCCGAUGGAGGGGGAUAACUACUGGAAACGGUAGCUAAUACCGCAUACUAUCAGAUGAACCCAUAUGGGAUUAGCUAGUAGGUGGGGUAAUGGCUCACCUAGGCGACGAUCCCUAGCUGGUCUGAGAGGAUGACCAGCCACACUGGGACUGAGACACGGCCCAGACUCCUACGGGAGGCAGCAGUGGGGAAUAUUGCACAAUGGGCGCAAGCCUGAUGCAGCCAUGCCGCGUGUAUGAAGAAGGCCUUAGGGUUGUAAAGUACUUUCAGCGAGGAGGCGUUACUCGCAGAAGAAGCACCGGCUAACUCCGUGCCAGCAGCCGCGGUAAUUC
rnacentral:rRNA from 1 species